GUUGUAGAGUGUGUGUGUGUGUGUGUGGUUGUAGAGUGUGUGUGUGUGUGUGUGUGUGGUUGUAGACACACACACACACACUGUACAACCACACACACACACACACACACACACUCUACAACCACACACACACACACUGUAGUGUGUGUGUGGUUGUAGAGUGUGUGUGUGUGGUUGUAGACACACACACUGUGUGUGUGUGGUUGUAGAGUCUACAACCACACACACACACACACACUCUACAACCACACACACAC